rnacentral:ncRNA from 1 species
UACCUGGAAAGUUCCGUAUAGAAGGCGCCGAAGGUGUACGGCAGCAGCGCUGCCAAUCUCUCAGGCAAAAGGACAGAGCA